CCCAGACUCCUACGGGAGGCAGCAGUGGGGAAUAUUGCACAAUGGGGGAAACCCUGAUCCAGCGACGCCGCGUGAGUGAAGAAGUAUUUCGGUACGUAAAGCUCUAUCAGCAGGAAAGAAAAUGACGGUACCUGACUAAGAAGCCCCGGCUAACUACGUGCCAGCAGCCGCGGUAAUACGUAGGGGGCAAGCGUUAUCCGGAUUUACUGGGUGUAAAGGGAGCGUAGACGGCAGCGCAAGUCUGGAGUGAAAUGCCGGGGCCCAACCCCGGAACUGCUCUGGAAACUGUGAAGCUGGAGUGCAGGAGAGGUAAGCGGAAUUCCUGGUGUAGCGGUGAAAUGCGUAGAUAUCAGGAGGAACACCGGCGGCGAAGGCGGCUUACUGGACUGUAACUGACGUUGAGGCUCGAAGGCGUGGGGAGCAAACAGGAUUAGAUACCCUCGUA
rnacentral:rRNA from 1 species